rnacentral:rRNA from 1 species
GAUGAACGCUAGCGACAGGCUUAACACAUGCAAGUCGAGGGGCAGCACAGGUAGCAAUACCGGGUGGCGACCGGCGCACGGGUGAGUAACGCGUAUGCAACUUACCUAUCAGAGGGGGAUAACCCGGCGAAAGUCGGACUAAUACCGCAUGAAGCAGGGGUCCCGCAUGGGGAUAUUUGCUAAAGAUUCAUCGCUGAUAGAUAGGCAUGCGUUCCAUUAGGCAGUUGGCGGGGUAACGGCCCACCAAACCGACGAUGGAUAGGGGUUCUGAGAGGAAGGUCCCCCACAUUGGUACUGAGACACGGACCACACUCCUACGGGAGGCAGCAGUGAGGAAUAUUGGUCAAUGGCCGAGAGGCUGAACCAGCCAAGUCGCGUGAGGGAUGAAGGUUCUAUGGAUCGUAAACCUCUUUUAUAAGGGAAUAAAGUGCGGGACGUGUCCCGUUUUGUAUGUACCUUAUGAAUAAGGAUCGGCUAACUCCGUG